AUGUCUCCGCACGGGCAAGUGCUUGAAUCAGUCAAGUGUGACUCGGAGCUUGUGUGUGUGUGUGUGUGGGUACGCGCGCGCGCACACGCGCUUGUGUGCCACCAGAGGAAGCAGCAGCAAGAGGCAGGAGCAUCGAUCCGAAGGAGACAGCGCGGGGAGGGGGACGCUGGGGGCAGACACCUUCCCUCCCGUGCGCGCGCGCGCGCGCACUCAAACACACACACACACACACACACACCACAGUCAGACACAAGCCACAGGGCCUCGCAAGCAGGGAGACGGCUCCGGGACCCGAGGGAGGCAGCGCCGCCGAGCGCGGCCAGGAGGAGGGGGCGAGGCAGCGGGGGGAACCCUCGAUCCCGCUCCCCGGUCCGGGGUCCCCGCGCGCACACUGGCCCAGAGACACCCUCGCAGACACUCGUAGGCGCGCACGCGCACCCUCUCCCCUCCCCCGCCGCCUCCCCUCCCGCCGCCUCCCGGCCGGACGAUGGAUCCCUGCAGAUCCCGGGGCUGAGAGCACCGCGCACCGCGCCGAGCCCGGGCGGACUGAGCCGAGGCGAGCGAGGGAGCGCGCGCGGCGGGCGGGCAGACGGAGCCGAGCCGAGCCAGGCCGGGCGGGCCGCUCCCUGCAGGGCUCUGCGCGGCGUGCCGCGGCGGCCGCCGGCUCCCGCUCCGGGCCAUGAGCCCCUCCGCGGCUCGGCGCUGAGCCCACGUCCGGCCCCGCGCCCCAGGACCCGCCGCCGGUUGCCGGGUUCCCGAAGCCCCCUCAGGUGGGUCUCCGAUUCCCCCGCCUUUGGCUGCGGGACUCCCCAGCGCCCGGAAGCCGGGACUUUCCUCCCCUGUAGCUUUCCCCAGCUUCUGGGGCGCCUCAGUGGCUGGGGAGGGGGGCGGGGGCCGAGCAGGGCAUCUGGCUGCGUCGAGAAGCUAGACUGGGGUGGGGGGGUUGCGUCCGGGGCGGGGACAGCUCGCUGUCAUAGGGAACCGCGCCCCCCCCCCCAUUUCUGUGCAGCCACCUCGGGCUGCCCUCUACCCCCCACCCCCCACCCCAAACAUGCACACCUACAGCCUGCGCCGUUCUGA
rnacentral:lncRNA from 1 species